rnacentral:lncRNA from 1 species
ACUGUCCCAACUCCCUGGCUGACUUCCGGGAGGAGCAGUGUCGGCAGUGGGACCUGUACUUCGAGCACGGUGAUGCCCAGCACCACUGGCUGCCUCAUGAGCACCGGGAUGGACUGUCCAGUGCAAGUGGCGGAAACUGUGAACCAAACACUUGAAGCUUUAAAUGGCACGUAUUUUGUGUCUUAUGAAGUUGAAAAUUUUGUAGCUUUAGUCC